UAUUUUGCAUAAAGCUGCCAGCGGACUUACGCCGUUUCGCUCUCCGUUUACGUUUUAACAAUAGAAAGUGGGAAGAGCUUCCAUUGUUCACACGUAAACGGAGUGCUAAACGGCGUAAGUCCGCUGACAGCUUAAGUAUUGCGUUGAAUGCAUUAGAAUUAA